rnacentral:piRNA from 1 species
UGACCAGGACCUGCAAAGGUUGAAGAGA